UUGUUUUGCAUUCAUUAAAAUUCCCAUCAUGACACAAAAUGCUGAACAUUUACUAUAACAAAAACAAAAGCAAACAAAAAAAUUGGACACAUUUAUUGCAAAUUUCAGUCAAAAAAGAUAUAAAUAAGGAAAUCACAUAGCACAGGCACAUUGUCCCGGUCCUACUCUACUUUAGUUCAUUAAUUAAUGUUUUUAGAAAAGAUAUUUACAGUGAGACCUCAGGCAGAUACUCUGAGAGCUUGUGGCAUAAUCCUUCUCUGUCCUCCCCUCUUCCCCUUCCCCCACCUGCAAAAGAGACUGCUUACUCAUUUUUCUUUUUCUUUAAAGCCAGGAAGGACUUGGAAAAAUCAAUCCUCAUGGCUUAGAUUUAUAUAAACUAUUUCAUAAAUCUCAUUCUCAAACAUACUUCUUAUAGAGGUAAAACUGACAUUUGUUUACUGAUUUUUUAUUAGAAAAAAUAUAUUUUUCUUUCCUCUUUCUUAUGAAAGUGGUUUAGAUAAACAGAAGAUCCUAGCAAAGAAGCUAUGUAUCCAGUUCAUCACCAUUAAAAACAACCUGUGCUUUUUUUUAAAGACUUUCUCUACAAUCAAAAUUAUCAGCCCCCUCAUUUAACAAUGUAUGCAGUUCAUGCAGAACAGAUUCUUGUGAAUCAAGGUACAGAUCUGAACGUGCUAUGGCCCAGGUCCUGUAAACAAAACUAGUUAUUUCCAGCAAAAUCUUGGCAAUGGAAUAACAGGUAUUUCCCCAUUCAGAGCCUAAUUCUGCAAGACAGUUUCCAAAACCUGGAAUGAAGAUUACUGUCCAAGACAGGAUACUUGUGCAGAGGAUGUUCAGCUGCUUAACAAGUAUGAACAGAAGCCCGCCCAAUUUUGGAUAACUCUAUGAGAAACAACUAAUUUCUGAUAAGGCCCAGAGGCAAAAUCUAGAGUUAAUGAAAUAUGUAUGAUACUUGGUGUGAAAACACUGAGUUCCUAAAUCUAAGAAAGGUGAAGAGCAGAACUGACCCUCAAAUGUAUCCUUCCAUUUUCACUUUCAAUAUGGGUACAGGCCUGUAUGGAAAUUAUUUGAGAUAUCAUAGAACAUACAUCAUGAUUUAUAAGAAUUACUCUUAAAGAUAUAAUUUCAUUUUAAAAGCAGCAGUGAUGAACACUUGAUUUUUUUUUCAGUAAUUAAGGCUCCAAACUACUUCAGCAUGCUUCUACUUUGUGCAAGGAUUAAUUUUGACUUUUCAAAAGAACACAAAUGAAAGAUGCAGAUGUAAGUGUAUUUGCAAAAGGUGCAAAGAUGUCUAGAAUACACUUUGUUUUUGUUUGUUUGCUUGUUUGUUUCCUUUCUUUCUAUUUGUCUCUCAGGUAUGCUAAUAUCCGUUUGCUCAAUGCUGGUUGCAAAAUGAAGUUUUAACAGAUAUGUGUGAAUAGUUCUAUCAGAACAAUUCUGAAAGGAGAUCCUCCUCAUACAACAGAAAACUACAAUAAGAGCUCUGGUCCUAUUAUAAAGCUUCCAAAACCAGUGGAAAAAGAGCUGUGUUCCGUUAUUCCCAGUGCACACCUGGGAAUUUACUGCUCUCUUAUGUGGCUCUCACCAUCUCUUUCUGCUGCAGGCUAGCCCUGUAGCACAGCUCUUUCGUCUCUCCUACCUUUGUCUAAAAUUAAACUGAUUUGCAGGUUUAAGGCCAAGCCGUUUUGAAGCUUUGGCAAGUGAAAAGAGAGAAAAUACUCAUGUGAGAUCACUUCAGUUCAAACCCUCACAUUGACAGAGAUGCUUUGCUUCAUUUGACUCAAACUGGCCAGAUCAUUGAUCAUUUUUAUUCUGGCAUAUCACCUGUGGCAUCUCAGAAGGAUUUGCUUAGGUUUGAUGAUGUUACCACAGGUCAUAAUUUAGUUUAUAAAAAAACCUUGGAAUAGAAUUAAAAGUAUUGAGUAGCUAUUCUGUUUCCCAUACAUAGCUACGGAGAUGAGUUAUUCUCCAAAAUACAGCUUUGAAUCUGAAAGCAAAGUUUGUCAUAAAGAAAAUAACUGAUGAUAAAUUCAUCAUUACUGUCUGAGUCACUGGCAUUGACCAUAUUUCCUCUGUGCAGUGAAUUAUGAAAAAGAGAGCUAGAAUCAUAGCUAAAGGUGAGAGUGAUAUAUAUAGAGAAAACUACAGCUCUUUGUAAUGAGAAAAAAUAAAAAAUAAAAAAAAUUGGGAGUCCUUACUAGUGUAA